UUGUUUCCUUGGGGAGGACCAUGGGCCUGCAGGUGACUGAGGAGGAUGUCUAUGAGCUGGUGGAGGAACACGACCGUGACCUAACCACCGAGGAGCUGGUGGAAUUGCAGAAGGAGGCGAUGGAGGGGCAGACCGCAUUUGAGGAGGAGGAGUUAAUGAGUGAGGAACAGCUCUCUUCCACGGAACUCAAGGAGGCAUGCCAAAUGUGGGUAAACCUACAGACUUUUGUACAGCAGCACCACACAGAUAAGGCUCUAGCCCACGGACUUGUGAGCAGUUUUGACACAGACAUCAUGCAGCAGACAAUGGAAAGGUUCCUACAAAAACAGCCUAGACAUGAAGAAGAACCUGCUUGUGUUAGUGCUGCCCAAUUGCCCUCGCCCUCCUCGUCUUCCAAAAAGUGUUAAAAUUGUUUUGAAAUUUUCCAUGUUUUCCCUGUUGACGUGUGAUUUAUGUACAGUUGAAGUGUACUGUACCAUGUUACAACAGUCUGCCAUGUUUUAAAAGUUGAUGUGUGAUGUUUUAAAACAUAAAGUUGGAUGUUUGAAAUGUUUUUGCUUGAUUAAUCAUGUCCCUGUACAGUAUUUAUGCCUUUAAAGUGCACUUUAUAAAGAGUUUUGAAC